CCUGAUGCAGCCAUGCCGCGUGUGUGAAGAAGGCCUUCGGGUUGUAAAGCACUUUCAGUAAGGAGGAAAGGUUAAGUGUUAAUAGCACUUAGCUGUGACGUUACUUACAGAAGAAGCACCGGCUAACUCCGUGCCAGCAGCCGCGGUAAUACGGAGGGUGCGAGCGUUAAUCGGAAUUACUGGGCGUAAAGCGUACGCAGGCGGUUUGUUAAGCGAGAUGUGAAAGCCCCGGGCUCAACCUGGGAACUGCAUUUCGAACUGGCAAACUAGAGUGUGAUAGAGGGUGGUAGAAUUUCAGGUGUAGCGGUGAAAUGCGUAGAGAUCUGAAGGAAUACCGAUGGCGAAGGCAGCCACCUGGGUCAACACUGACGCUCAUGUACGAAAGCGUGGGGAGCAAACAGGAUUAGAUACCCUGGUAGUCCACGCCGUAAACGAUGUCUACUAGAAGCUCGACUCUUCGGAGUUGUUUUUCAAAGCUAACGCAUUAAGUAGACCGCCUGGGGAGUACGGCCGCAAGGUUAAAACUCAAAUGAAUUGACGGGGGCCCGCACAAGCGGUGGAGCAUGUGGUUUAAUUCGAUGCAACGCGAAGAACCUUACCUACACUUGACAUACAGAGAACUUACCAGAGAUGGUUUGGUGCCUUCGGGAACUCUGAUACAAGUGCUGCAUGGCUGUCGUCAGCUCGUGUUGUGAGAUGUUGGGUUAAGUCACGCAACGAGCGCAACCCCUAUCCUUAGU
rnacentral:rRNA from 1 species